rnacentral:rRNA from 1 species
CAAAGGUAUAAGAUAGCAGAAACAGUUGGGAAGCUGUUCCAAAGAGGGUGACAGGCCCGUAUGCGAAAUCUUGUACUCUCUAAUCAGGAUCCUGAGUACGGCCCAGCACGUGAAAUUGGGUCGGAAUCUGGGAGGACCAUCUCCCAAGGCUAAAUACUAACUAGUGACCGAUAGCGAACAAGUACCGUGAGGGAAAGGUGAAAAGAACCCCGGAAGGGGAGUGAAAUAGUUCUUGAAACCGUGUGCUUACAAGAAGUUCGAGGCCGUUAAUGGCUGAGAGCGUGCUUUUUGUAGAAUGAACCGGAGAGUUACGAUUGCGUGCAAGGUUAAGGUGCAAAGACUGGAGCCGUAGCGAAAGCGAGUCUUAAUAGGGCGAAUCAGUACGUAGUUGUAGACCCGAAACCGAGUGACCUAUCCAUGGUCAGGUUGAAGGUGGGGU